CGUAACAAGGUUUCCGUAGGUGAACCUGCGGAAGGAUCAUUGUCGAAAACGAACGGAAGAACGACCCGCGAACCGUCCCCACCUACCGAACGGAGGUCGCGAGCCGAAACGCUCGCGUCCCUCGCGUCGCGUCGGCGCGGGCCUUCCCCGGAGGCCGGCGUCGUCCCGACAAACGAACAUCGUCAGCACGAAUCGUGCCAAGGACCCGUAAAAGGCGAGAAUCGCCGUCCCCGGCCCCCGGUCGUUCUCGGCGGGGGGCGCGGGACGCGCGCGAUCUCUGCUCUAAGUCUUUAAUGACUCUCGGCAACGGAUAUCUCGGCUCUUGCAUCGAUGAAGAACGUAGCGAAAUGCGAUACUUGGUGUGAAUUGCAGAAUCCCGCGAACCAUCAAUUCUUUGAACGCAAGUUGCGCCCGAAGCCAUUUGGCCGAGGGCACGCCUGCCUGGGCGUCGUGAAUCCCCUUGCCCCCCGGAACCCGCGCGAGCAUCGUCGCGGGUUUUCCCGGGCGCAGAAUAUGGUCUCCCGUCGCAUCGGCGUGCGCGGCACGCCGUGGUACGGUUGGCCGAAAAUCGAGCAUUGCGACGUCGGGCUGCACGGCGCUAGGUGGAUCGAACGCGAUUGGCUGCGCCGUGGUCCCGUCGUGCCGCGGGCUCAGGACUAGGACGGUUCCCCAGUGCGAUCCCAGGUCAGG
rnacentral:rRNA from 6 species